AUUGAACGCUGGCGGCAGGCCUAACACAUGCAAGUCGAACGAGUGGCGGACGGGUGAGUAAUGUCUGGGAACCUGCCUGAUGGAGGGGGCUAACUACUGGAAAAGGUAGCUAAUACCGCAUACGGUCCGAUGUGCCCAGAGGGGAUUAGCUUGUUGGGGGGGUAACGGCUCACCAAGGCGACGAGCCCUAGCGGGUCUGAGAGGAUGACCAGCCACACUGGGACUGAGACACGGUCCAGACUCCUACGGGAGGCAGCAGUGGGGAAUAUUGCACAAUGGGCGCAAGCCUGAUGCAGCCAUGCCGCGUGUAUGAAGAAGGCCUUCGGGUUGUAAAGUACUUUCAGCGGGGAGGCGUUACCCGCAGAAGAAGCACCGGCUAACUCCGUGCCAGCAGCCGCGGUAAUUC
rnacentral:rRNA from 1 species